UGCAGUCGAAGAACUCUGGUAUUGAUUGGUGCUUGCAUCAUGAUUUACAUUUGAGUGAGUGGCGAACUGGUGAGUAACACGUGGGAAACCUGCCCAGAAGCGGGGGAUAACACCUGGAAACAGAUGCUAAUACCGCAUAACAACUUGGACCGCAUGGUCCGAGUUUGAAAGAUGGCUUCGGCUAUCACUUUUGGAUGGUCCCGCGGCGUAUUAGCUAGAUGGUGGGGUAACGGCUCACCAUGGCAAUGAUACGUAGCCGACCUGAGAGGGUAAUCGGCCACAUUGGGACUGAGACACGGCCCAAACUCCUACGGGAGGCAGCAGUAGGGAAUCUUCCACAAUGGACGAAAGUCUGAUGGAGCAACGCCGCGUGAGUGAAGAAGGGUUUCGGCUCGUAAAACUCUGUUGUUAAAGAAGAACAUAUCUGAGAGUAACUGUUCAGGUAUUGACGGUAUUUAACCAGAAAGCCACGGCUAACUACGUGCCAGCAGCCGCGGUAAUACGUAGGUGGCAAGCGUUGUCCGGAUUUAUUGGGCGUAAAGCGAGCGCAGGCGGUUUUUUAAGUCUGAUGUGAAAGCCUUCGGCUCAACCGAAGAAGUGCAUCGGAAACUGGGAAACUUGAGUGCAGAAGAGGACAGUGGAACUCCAUGUGUAGCGGUGAAAUGCGUAGAUAUAUGGAAGAACACCAGUGGCGAAGGCGGCUGUCUGGUCUGUAACUGACGCUGAGGCUCGAAAGUAUGGGUAGCAAACAGGAUUAGAUACCCUGGUAGUCCAUACCGUAAACGAUGAAUGCUAAGUGUUGGAGGGUUUCCGCCCUUCAGUGCUGCAGCUAACGCAUUAAGCAUUCCGCCUGGGGAGUACGGCCGCAAGGCUGAAACUCAAAGGAAUUGACGGGGGCCCGCACAAGCGGUGGAGCAUGUGGUUUAAUUCGAAGCUACGCGAAGAACCUUACCAGGUCUUGACAUACUAUGCAAAUCUAAGAGAUUAGACGUUCCCUUCGGGGACAUGGAUACAGGUGGUGCAUGGUUGUCGUCAGCUCGUGUCGUGAGAUGUUGGGUUAAGUCCCGCAACGAGCGCAACCCUUAUUAUCAGUUGCCAGCAUUAAGUUGGGCACUCUGGUGAGACUGCCGGUGACAAACCGGAGGAAGGUGGGGAUGACGUCAAAUCAUCAUGCCCCUUAUGACCUGGGCUACACACGUGCUACAAUGGAUGGUACAACGAGUUGCGAACUCGCGAGAGUAAGCUAAUCUCUUAAAGCCAUUCUCAGUUCGGAUUGUAGGCUGCAACUCGCCUACAUGAAGUCGGAAUCGCUAGUAAUCGCGGAUCAGCAUGCCGCGGUGAAUACGUUCCCGGGCCUUGUACACACCGCCCGUCACACCAUGAGAGUUGUAACACCCAAAGUCGGUGGGUAACCUUUAGAACCACCGCCUAA
rnacentral:rRNA from 2 species